rnacentral:rRNA from 1 species
UGGCGUACGGGUGAGUAACGCGUAGGUAAUCUACCCCAGAAUCCGGAAUAACCGGCCGAAAGGCUGGCUAAUACCAGAUAGAGCGACGAAAUCCGUAAUUGGGUUUUUCGGGAAAGGGGGGCCGUAAGGUCUCUCGUUUUGGGAUGAGCCUGCGUCUCAUUAGCUAGUUGGUAAGGUAAUGGCUUACCAAGGCAUUGAUGGGUAGCUGGUCUGAGAGGAUGAUCAGCCACACUGGAACUGAAACACGGUCCAGACUCCUACGGGAGGCAGCAGUGGGGAAUCUUGCGCAAUGGACGAAAGUCUGACGCAGCCACGCCGCGUGAGUGAAGAAGGCCUUCGGGUUGUAAAGCUCUGUCGAGCGGGACGAAAAGCACUUAGGCUCAUACCCUAGGUGUCUGACGGUACCGCUAAAGGAAGCACCGGCUAACUUCGUGCCAGCAGCCGCGGUAAUACGAGGGGUGCAAGCGUUGCUCGGAAUUAUUGGGCGUAAAGGGUAGGUAGGUGGUCUCAUUUGUCUGGGGUGAAAGCCUUGAGCUUAACUCGAGAAG